GUGGCAUAGGGGAAGACAGGGGUGAAUGAAGGACAACUAGAAUAGCUGCCAUGAAAUAUACAAGAUAUUUAGAGAAAGUUUUGUCAAUUUCAGCCUCCGCACUCUGCAGGACAGGGACACCCACAAAACAAAAAGAGAUCUGAGCCUCUAUGUCCUAAGGACAUUUCAGGUGUUUAAUUCAAUAUAUAAAGAGGGUGGAAUGAAAACUACUAUUUCUUUCAAAGGAGGCACAAUAAUUUCCCUGAAUAUCCAGUUUUCCCCUCCAGUCCCGUUGUGGUUUUGUCUAUGGGGCUAUUUGCUUUCCCUGUGAAUCUUUAGUUGUUUUACCAAAAUUGCUUUGCCCAAAAUAAACCCUGAUCAUCAUAACACAUCUUCCCACCAUGUUCUCCGUGUUUUGUUUUUUUUAAACAGUAACAUUUCAAAGAGGAUCUGCAAGCAGUUUGGACAUUACAACCAUAAUCCCCUGCUGGGGAGGGAAUGGGAUAGAUUUGAACUUGGAAAUGGUUCCUGAUUUUGAUUGUAUUUUUUGUGUAUUAUAUUAUUGAAGAUCACCUCAUCCAGGGGGCAGAAAAGAACUGCCCAGGCUUUGGUACCCCCGCCCCAACAACCCCGAGUGAAAAUAACAAGAAAGCCAGAAAUAGCCCCUCAUUCCCCAGUUCAGACCACGGAGUGAACAGCUAAAUUUAAACUGUUCUUAUGCAGAUAGCAGGCAUCCUGGGGAGGCUUCUCCCUCAGCCAGUCCCCCUGCUCCCUGCUACAAGCUAGAGGGGAGCCGCUGCAGGCUCUGCUGGGGGAGGGGGGAGGGAGCCUAGCUGAGU